rnacentral:lncRNA from 1 species
CUUGUUGCCCUGGCUUGAGUGCAAUGGCACGAUCUCAGCUCAAUGCAACCUCUGCCUCUUGGGUUCCAGAAGUUCGCCUACCCCAGCCUCCCAAGUGGCUGGGAUUACAGGCAUGUGGCCACCAUGCCCGGCUAAUUUUUGUAUUUUUAGUAGAGACAGGGUUUCACCGUGUUGCUCAGGCUGGUCUCAAACUCCUGACCUCAGGUGAUCCACAUGCCUCAGCCUCCCAUAGUGCUGGGGUUACAGGUGUGAGUCACUGCACCUGGCCAAAAAGUCACCUCUUAUUUGACCUAGUCCCUACCCCCAGGGGAGAGGUAGUGCUGAAAAGGUCCAUGGCAGAACCGGCUCUGCCUCACUCCAGCAAAGCCACGUGACAGGCUCUAGAGACAAAGGAAGCCUUGGAGCCCCAUCUCCUGACUGAAGCAUGAGCUGUCUGAGCUUGAGGUGGUCUACUGCUUCCAGGGGACCUCUUGGCCAGUCCAGGGACUUGGAAGAACUCAGUCAUGGUGCAUUUCAUCAAGUCGGUUUUUAUUUAUUUGUCCAAGUUGGAAGACAUUUAGAGAUUAGUCCUGUGUUUCUCCAGGUGUGAUCAUGAGGGAUGGCUGGCUUCUUUCAGCAACCUUGUUUCCUCUGAGAUGAAGUGAGAUGAGCUGAGAGGAACCUAAGCAACCCCAGUACAGAUGAUCUACUUACAGCCCUGGGGUGCUUGACUGGACUCAUAUCUGUGAAGGCCAUUUCCAUCACUCCAUUCCAUUCUUCAGUUGCUCUUUAUUUUUUAUUUGUGCAUGAUUUUAUAUUUCAAGUUAAGAUUCUGGAUUUCUCUCUAAGCUAUGAUUCUGCUUCCCCAUCCCUGCAACAAAACCUCCAUAAGUAAGACCUCUUCUGGGCCCAGUCAGCCCCUGGACUUUCCUCCUGGAUGCUCCAAGUCUUUCAUCUUCAUCCACCCAGAUCUGACCUUUAGGACUCCCAUUCCUGACAUUUGAUGACUAGGGAUUGAUUUCGUUGGGUUUAUUUUAGCCCUCUUUGGGCACCUUUUAAAUAAAGGAAUCUUCUGUUGGGAAACGCAUUAGCAAUGUGUAUGUGAGGGGAAGCGAAUUUAUCAGCUUGGUUUUCCAGCCUCAGGCCCAGAUGGCAUAUGGCAGAAGUGACUUGAAGUCAUGAUGGAAGCCAGCGAGACAACCCAUAGGCCUACUGAGGCCAUUUGGGUGGGAAGAAGAAAAGAGAAUGCAGAAAAGCAAAAAAGGACAUUAAAAUGUAUCAGUUGCCUACUACAUGGCAGGCAGAGGGCUGUGUGUGUGUGUGUGUGUGCAAAUAUUAUAUUAAUAUGAAUAUGUCAGUUAACAUUACUACUUGAAUUUUAUGAAAAGGGAAAGGUAAAGCUCAAAGAAUUAAUUUGUUCCAAGUGAUCUUACUAUAAAGAGAGAGAUAGAAUUAGGAGCAGGAUCAGUGGAGAACCUCAUCCUCUCCACAAUACCCUGUGGGCUUUGCUUCCUCCAGGCUUAAGCCCCCUUUUUUUUUUUUGGCUCAACAAAGAGAGAUUCCAGUGCUAGAUGUCAACACAGAAUCUUCAUGGCACACAGAGUGAAAAAAGGAAAGACAAAUGAAUAUGAUGGCUCUAGUUUGCACAGAAUAACUAAUAGUAUCAACACCCACCACUAACAGUCAUAGAACUCUGUAUUUAUAUGCCACUUCAGACAUCGCCGCAGAUGUGAUAUCCUUCUGAUUUUUACUUUACAAACAGUUACUAAGAGGUGUCAGUUUUAUUUUCUUCAUUUCACAGAUUUUUUUCUUGAGACAAAUUUGUUUUGCACCCAAUGGAUUGGGAAAAAUUAAAAGUUUGUCAAAAACAACUGUUGGAGAGGAUGGGGAACAAUGGGGACUCACACACUGUUGGUGAGACUAAUUAAUGUCUACUUCGGAAAACACAUCUAGGGCAGUUGAAGAGAUGUGCAUAUCCUAAGACAGAGCAAUUUCAGUCUUAUGAAGGGAAAUGAUCACAUUUUAUACAUGGGACAACAUCUAUACUAGUGUUGAUAGCAUAAUAAUAUUCACAAGAGGAAAAACUAGAAACCACCUAAGUGAUCAUAUUUAAUCAUGGAAUAAAAUUAUUGUCAUAGUAACGCAAUGGAAAUGAGCUAAUUACAUCUGUACACAUCAGCUCAGUGGCUCUGGGGUUCACAACAGCUAAGUCACAGUGCCACAAUAUCACAGUAUCGUGACUUACCUGUUUAUUUUAUAAUUCUGAAAGUGCUCUUACCUCUGUUUUGCACACUGUGGUUGCUUGUCGUGAAUGAAGAACUAUAAGAAAAUAUGUUAAAAUUCAAAGAAUGUUAGUAUUUCCCCUUGGUGGUAAAAUUCCACUCAGAGGCAAGGUCAAUGAUAAUAGCCUGAAGUCACAGUUAUAAAGCACUUUAUAUUUUACUGGAUAUGCUAGAAGAAUCAUUUGUUUUGAAAAGCACUAGGAGGCAUGUUAUCCUCCUUUCUCAAGCUGGCUAUAUUAGACGUGGAACAAACUGACCAUAUAAGUUCUUCUCAUGUCUUUUCAGUGAGCACGUAUCAUUAUUCUUUACUUUUUGAAGCCAUGAGUUUAAACUUGCUUUGUAGCUACAGUCACUAUGGAAAAGAACAUUUUGCUGGUGGGGGCUCAUAAUCUAUAGAAACUAUUUACCAAUUGAAAGUCAACCAUAAAGUGGAAGAAGAAUAUAGAAAUUAUUGUAUUCCUUCUAGAAAUUUGUGCUGAGUAAGAAAACUUAGUGGAUUAUGAUAAGAAAAACCCCAAAGAAAAAGAGAUUAUAAAACUAUAAGACAAACAAAAUAACAAUAUGCAUUUCUAAAUACAAAAAUGAUAUUAUCAAGACUGUUCAUCAGUGGCUUUUCUUAGCACUCUACUUAAUACUUAGCUCUAAUUUUCUGGUUCAUUUUGUAUUGUGGUCAGUAUCAUCAACAUAAGCUCCAGGUGCUACCACAGUUAAAUCUAAUUACAUGAGUGAUGCUCUAUUCCAAGGACUGUGCUAUUGACUAAAGCCUCUGGGUUAAUUAAAUGAAACCUGAUCCAUUUCUAGUGCCAAUGAAAUCACCUGAGCAUAUAUCUGGUUUAUGUUGUCACCAUAAAAGCCUGAGGUCAUAUGUCUUGCUUUGUGGAUAAAAACGCAAGCAGUUCAUCCAGCCACCAUACUAUGCUGUCACCGCCAGUCAGACUGCUACUGAAAUUCAAGAUUUGACUCCGUUAAAACCAGAAUCCUUUUACUAGCAGCCAGUGUACAAUUCUGUUAAAUGUCUGGGAAAAAAUAGGGAAUAGCAAAAUUUCUCUGCGCUAAUAGUAUAGGAUUUUUAGAAAAUGUUGAAAAGAAUAGAAAUAUCCUCUUGAGGAUAUUCUAGAAGUACAUAGUUGAUAUGAAUAUAAGGGGAAAAAAUAAAAACAAAAUAAUGAAAAUGAAAAUUAAGUCUGGGCGUGUUGGCUCACGCGUGUAAUCCCAGAACUUUGGGAGGCUGAGGCAGGCGGAUCACAAGGUCAGGAGAUCGAGACCAUCCUGGCUAACACGGUGAAAUCCCGUCUCUACUAAAAAUAUAAAAAAUUAGCCGGGCAUGGUGGUGGGCACCUGUAGUCCCAGCCACUAGGGAGGCUGAGGCAGGAGAAUGGUGUGAACCUGGGAGGCGGAGGUUGCAGUGAGCCGAGAUCGCGCCAUGGCACUCCAGCCUGGGCAACAGAGUGAGACUCUGUCUCAAAAAAAAAAAAAAAAAGAAAAAGGAAAAUUAAAGGCCUGGCACGGUGGCUUACACCUGUAAUCCCAACACUUUGGGAGGCCGAGGUGAGCAGAUCACCUGAGGUCAGGAGUUCAAGACCAGCCUUGAUAACAUGGUGAAACCCUGUCUCUACUAAAAAUACAAAAAUCAGCUGGGCGUGGUGGCAUCUGCCUGUAGUCCCAGCUACUUGGGAGGCUGAGGCGGGAGAAUUGCUUAAACCCAGGAGGUGGAGGUUGCAGUGAGCCGAGAUCGUACCACUGCACCCCAGCCUGGGCAACAAGAGUGAAACUCUCUCAAAAAAAAAAAAAAAAAAGAAAGAAAGAAAAUAAAAAUGAUGACUCUUUUGUUUAACAAACGUGUUGAACACUUACUAGGCACAUGGUAUGUUCUGGGGAAUAGACAAUAAAGAAGACAUGGCCUCUGCCUGAAUGAAGCUUAGUUUAUAAAAGAAACACAUCCUUGUAUCAUAAUUAUAAUGUAGAAUAAAUGUUAUGGUAAAGGUGUGCACAGCAUAAGUUUCUGUAGUAGUAAAAGGUCAUGUAAAUGAAACAAAAUUGCUUUCGUUCUCAGGAAAGGCUCUGUGGGAGAAAGAUGAACCGAGCUGACCCCUGAAGCAUGAAUAGGAGUAAGGGUGUAUUCCAGGCAGGUAGAGCAGCAUGUGCAAAGGCCCAGAGGCAAGGAGCCAUGGCCUUUUCUGCAAGAGACCAGAAAGCAGUUCCUUCUAGAGGAAAGGGAGGGUGUGGAGAUGAUCAAUAUUAUUAGAAGGCUAGUGCAAUAGUCCAGGUAAAAGUUGAUAGUGGCUGGGCCAUGCAAGGAGCUAGUCAAAUGGGGGAGAAAUAGACACAUUCAACACAUGUUUUAGAGAUAUAAUUUUGGGAACUGAAAAUGGGUGGGAUAGGAAGAGUGACGAUGGGAAAGAGAGCUUACUGAGUUUACCGGGAUGAAAAGCUUUGCAGAGGAUAUUAUGGGUUUCAGAAUGGGACUAGAAAUGAAGAGUUCGAUUUCCACCAUUGUGAGUCUGUGCUGCCUGGGACUGAGCUAAGGAAAACUGCUCACUGGGUCAUUAGAUACACAGGUCUGGAGCUGAGAGAGGUGAUUUGCAGAAGAUAGGGAUUUGGGAAUUAUCAACAUGGGGUUGAAGUUUGAUGCUGGGGAUGGAUGUGAUUACGCAGGCCUUAGAGAUAGUAAAGAGACCUUGGAUGAACUCUGACGAAUACCAACAUUUGGAGGUCAGUUUGGGAAAAAGUCCAAGAUGAGGAAUUAGAAGAAGCAGCAGCCAGUUAAGAGAGGGAGAAAAAUCAAGGGUCUUUAUGUAAUAAAUGAAACAAACAAACAAAUAAACAAAAGAAGUGAAACCACAUCAAAUAACUAUUACAGAAAUGAGGCCAACUGGAGAGCUUGUUAUUUUUUCACUAUAAUAUAAUGUGUACAUUUUUUACUUUUAGAAAAUUACAUUAAGAAAGGGGGCCAGGCAUGGUGGCUCAUGCCUGUAAUCCCAGCACAUUUGGGGGCCAAGGUGGGUGAAUCACUUGAGCCCAGGAGUUCGAGACUAGCCUGGGCAACAUGGUGAGACCCCUUCUCUACAAAGAGUACAAAAAUUAGCUGGGCAUGGUGGCAUGUGCCUAUAGUUCCAGCUACUCUGGGGGAUGAUGUGGGAGGAUCACUUGAGCCCGGGAGGUCAAGGCUGCAUUGAGAUGUGAUUGUGCCACUACAAGACAGAAUAAAACCCUGUCUCAAAGAAAAAGAAAGAAAGAAAGGAAGAAAGGAAGGAAGGAAGAAAAAACAAAAGAAAGAAAGAAAGAAAAGAGAAGAGGAGGAGGAGGAGGAGGAGGAGGAGGAGGAUGAUAUUGUGGUAUGGGGAAGAGUUUUGUAUUUAAGCUGUUUGGGACUUAAACACCAGACAGUCCCCAAAGCACAAUGAAGCUACAUGUCCUAGUACCCACAGGCCAAGAAAUGAGAAUAAAAUUACUGAAGGUGCCAAAUGGGACCAGAGAAGAAAGUAAAGGAGCAGAAAGGCAUAGGGUAUGGUGAUCAUGCCCCGAUAUACAGGGCCUGGCAAUAGCAAUGAGAGUGAAUGUUCGUUGGGCUCUUGCAACAUGCCUGACUCUGCCCUAAGUUUCUCAUGUAAUACAGUGAGGUCGCCCAAGUCACAUGGUUCACUGCUGAAAAAGUCAGGCAGCCUGGCUUCAGUGGAUCCUGCUUAACCACUAUUCUGUUCCACCACAAACAUAGUACAUUCCCAGUAAAUAAUUAUUGAAUCAAUUAAAGGGAGCUUUUUAGCAGGCACCAGGGAUAGUCAGGAUUUAUGGGCUGCAUUUUUAGACUCAAGUCCUUAUGGGCAACACUGGCUACUGAACAGUGCUUGGGCUUUGAGGUUGGGCUUGGCUUCAGUGGUAAAGGGCUCGGUCUUUCCCAGCUUCAUGUUUUUCAUCUGAAGAAUGGAGGCAAAUUAUCUCCUGGAUUCAUUAAGCUUUAAGCUGGGGUUCCAUGGAGGAAUAGGAGUGUUCCAAUAGGGAGAGGGUGGAGAGGAGCAAAUACGGGGGGAGGGGCUACAGGCAGGAGAGUGGUGUGUGCCAGUGCCAUGCAUUAAGUGGCAUUGUGGUUGCUGGCAGGCAUCUGACGAGGCUGCAGUGCCGAGAGUGAGAGGAAAGUGGCUUGAACUGAGGUCAGAGCCACUGGCCGGAGUGAGAUCAUGAGGGCCUUACAGCACUAAUACUGGAGGCCCUGGAUUUUGUUUUAGGGCAGUCACUACUAAUUUAGUGACUUUGGUCAAUAAAUAUCCUGACUGAGCCUUGGCUUCUUUUCUUUAUAGAGUGUCACUCUGUCGCCCAGGCUGGAGUGCAGUGGCGCCAUCUUGGCUCACUGCUAGCUCUGCCUCCCGGGUUCAC